CAUGACAUCGUUUGCCAACCGCAAUGAAAAACAUUAAGAAGAAGAAGAAGAAGAAGAAGAAGAGCCGUGCACUUCAGGCGUUAACAUCACUACAAGGGCAGUUCAGCUCAACCAGCGCUACGUUUAUUGUCAGUAAUUCUCCAGGUCCCAUUAUGCGCAGUGCGUAUCUCCUCCUGAUACCAGCUCUGCUGCUCCUCCUGGCCCUUCCUGUCUCCAAGGGACGCUACAAUGAUGACUUUGAUGAUGGCGAGGACCUAGCAGACUUUGAUGACAAUGACUUUGCUGAGUUUGAGGACAUGAACGAUGAUCCAGCGGCCGAGGAAGAAACUGCCCCUCCGCCUCGUGUCUCACCGUCCUCGCAGCCUGAAGAGGAUGAAGAUGAAGAUGAAGCCACUGUGGAGCUGGAGGACGGCCAAGAUGGUUUUGAGGACUCAGAGACACAGGAUCAAGACAUGUACAGCAAAUAUGACCAGGAGGAGUUUGAGGGGAUUGGAGACAUGGAGAAGACAGGCCACUCCAUGAAGGAUCCCCUCAUAAUCCACACAGUUCCUGCACAUCUGCAAAACAGCUGGGAGAGUUAUUACAUGGAGAUCCUGAUGGUGACUGGCCUGUUGGCCUACAUCAUGAACUACAUCAUUGGCAAGAACAAGAACAGUCGCCUUGCUCAGGCCUGGUUCAACUCACACAGAGAACUUCUAGAGAGCAACUUUGCACUAGUGGGUGACGAUGGCACCAGUAAAGAAGCAGUGAGCACUGGGAAGCUGAAUCAGGAAAAUGAGCACAUCUACAACCUUUGGUGCUCGGGACGUGUGUGCUGUGAAGGCAUGCUGAUCCAACUUAAGUUUCUGAAGAGGCAGGACCUGCUCAAUGUUCUGGCCAGGAUGAUGAGGCCCAUCUGUGAUCAAGUGCAAAUCAAAGUGACUCUUAAUGAGGAGGACAUGGACACUUUUGUGUUUGCUGUUGGCACCAAGAAGGCCAUGGCCAGGCUUCAGAAGGAGAUGCAGGACUUGAGUGAGUUCUGCGGGGACAAGCCUAAGUCUGGGGCUAAGUAUGGGCUCCCAGACUCCCUGGCUAUUCUAAGUGAGAUGGGUGAAGUCACAGAUGGGGUGAUGGACAACAAGAUGGUGCAUUAUAUCACCAACAAUGCUGACAAGAUUGAGUCCAUUCAUUUCUCGGACCAAUUUUCUGGUCCAAAAGUUAUGCAAGAGGAGGGUCAGCCCUUAAAGCUGCCUGAGACCAAGAAGACGCUGCUGUUUACAUUUAAUGUGCCUGGCAUGGGCAACACCUCUCCCAAAGACAUGGAUGCUCUGCUCCCUCUCAUGAACAUGGUGAUCUACAGCAUCGAUAAAGUCAAGAAACUCCGUCUCAACAGAGAGUGUCUUUUCAUCCUCCCUGUAUAUUUAGGGCAAACAGAAAGCAGACAGAAACCGGGCCCGUGUGGAGGAGAACUUCCUGAAGCAGACUCACGCUCAGCGUCAGGAGGCAGCCCAGACCCGCCGGGAGGAGAAGAAGAGGGCUGAGAAAGAGAGGAUCAUGAAUGAGGAGGACCCUGACAGACAACGUCGUCUUGAGGAAGCAGCCCAGCGGCGAGAGCAGAAGAAGAUUGAGAAGAAGCAGAUGAAGAUGAAGCAGAUCAAAGUGAAAGCCAUGUGAAAGACCACCACAGAGAUAGUGAAACAAGCACAGUGCCCAGCUCAGACACUUUUCUCCAGCUUCUUUCACCACAGUCUGCAGCUCUGGCUCACAGUCGCUCCAGCUCUAAAAAGACAUCCUGUGCCUCUGGGUGUGUCAAGCUUAGCUGUCUCUGUCACCACCUGCUCCAUUUGGUGUGGCUGAAAGUUAAUGACUGAGAGUGAACUGUCCAUGUCAAGUGAGAGGGGCUGUCUCACCAUCAUAUCUCACCACAAUUCCUGCCGGGAUUUUUUUUUUUUUCUUUUCUCUCCAACCAUCUUCUCAAAAUGUAAUCAAAGCUCUGUUUGAAAGCUAGCUUAGGGAGCUUUUUAACUAAAAUCUGCUGGGAGAGAACACACUAUUUGGUGAUAUUAGGCCACAUUUUAAAAAGAAAUAAAGCAUUGCUGUGGUUUCAGCAGAAAUGUAUUAGCAUUAAUAUAAUCUUAAACAAUACUAUCAUGGACAUUUUAAUUUAUAUCUGCUAUGAUUGGUUUCAUGCAGGCUGUUUCUAAUGAAUAUCUGAGCAAACAUAAUAAAAUGCACUGGAGUCUGUUAACUG